CCGAGAUUGAGCCACUGCACUCCAGCCUGGGCAACAGAGCAACACUCUGUCUCAAAAAAACAAAACACAACAAAACAAACCCACAAAUAUGUUAUCUUACAGUUCUAUAGACCAGAAGUCCAACACAGGUCUCACCAGGCUAAAAUCAAGCUGUUAACAGGGCUGCUUCCUCACUGGGAGCUUUAGAUGGGAAUCUGUUUCCUGCUCAUUAGGUUUAUUCACAGACUUUAGGGCCAUGCAGUUGUAGAACUGAGGUCCCCUUUCCCUUGUAGUUGGCUGGUGGUUCCCUUCCUCCAUUUUCAAAGCCUGCAAUGGAGGGACAGGCUCUUUUCAUGUCACAUUCCUCUGACCCAUUCUUCUGUCUUCCUCUUCUACUGCUGACAAUUCAUGUGAUUAGACUGGGCUCCCCUGGAUAAUCCAGGAUACUCUCCUCAUCUCAAAGUCCAUACCCUAAGCACAUGUACAAAGUCCCCUUUGCUAUGUAAGGUAACAUAUUCACAGGUUCCAAGGAUUAGGAUGUGAACAUCUUUGAGGAACCAUCAUUCUGUCCACCACAAGGGCUUUGAGCAAUGGAGCAACUGCUCACUCUGCAGCCAAGAAUGUGUCAGUCUAGUUGCUCUGUUGAAAAUAGUUGGGAGUGGGAGGAGGAAGGCCAGGGAGGAUAGGGCAAGAAGCAGGAAGCUGGUGUAGAGGCUAACACGAUAAUUCAGGGGACAAAUAAUGGUAGUUUCAACCAAGGUGGGGGGUGACUCUGGAAGAGUCAAGGCUAGAUAAGGUGACAAUAGGUUUUAGGUGUCAAGUUGGCUAAGCUACAGUCCUCAGUUAUUCAGUCAAACACUAAUCUGGGUGUUGCUGUGAAGACAUUUUACGGACAUGAUUAAAGUCCCUCAUCAACUGACUUUCAGCCAGGGAGAUAAUCCUAGAUUGAAGGUGGGCCUGAUCCAAUCCAUUGAAAGGCCCUAGAAGAGCUGAGCGUUCCCUGAUGAAGAAAUUCUGCCUGUGGAUGGCAAUUCCGCUCAUGCCCAGGAGUUCCAACCUGCUCUUUCUGACGGUGUGCCCUAUGGAUUUCCCACUGGCCUAACCAGCCCCAUGAUUAUGUGAGGCAGGAGAAUCGGGCCUGGAGGCAGGGAACCUCAGGGCUUCCUAGAACUAAAUCAAAUGGAAACACUUCAGCUAUGACAGGAACUACACUCGUCAUUUACAUAGAAUGUACACCAAAUACAUAACUUUGUAACCUCACUUUAGCCUCUUCAUUUACAUAGGGCGUACACCAAGUAACCAAUGGAAACCUCUAGAUGGUAUUUAAACCCCAGAAAAUUCUGUAACCGGGCUCUUAAGCCCCUAUGCUCAGCCGCUCCCACCCUGUGGAGUGUACUUUUGUUUUCUAUAAAUCUCUGCUUUUGUUGCUUCAUUCUUUCCUUGGUUUGUUUGUGUGUUUUGUCCAAUUCUUCGUUCAAGAUGCCAAGAACCUGGACACCCCCAACUGGUAACAUAUGUAGGGCAAUUCCUCUUAAUAUGACUCUCCUACUGGUUCAGUUUCUCUGGUUGAACCCUGACUGAUACAUCCUGAAUAAGUUUGAAUGUGGAGCUGACCGGCUAAGCUAGUGUAUUGGAAGUGGGAUGUGAGAAAGUGGAGUCCAGGAUGAUGCCAAAGUUUUUGCCCCGAGCAGCCAGAAGGAUGGCUUAGGUAUCUCCUUCUAAGGUAGGAAUCACGAAUGCAAAAGCCACCUACAAAAGCCUGUUCAAGGGAUGGCAAAGGAAGAUGCCCAGUUUCCCCCAAGGAAGCCCUUUCAGACGGGGGAUGUGUAUAGGCAGGAAUGGGUUGGAGUGGCUGGCCAGCCCUGAUGUGGGCAAGCUCCAAUUUAAGGGGGUGAAAUAGGUAAUAAAGUCACUGCUGUGCUCCAUGCCACUCAUCCAGAAACACUAGUGGUUUUCCAGUGCAUUCUGGAAUCCUCAGGAAAUCUGGAGAUCUUUUUACUGUUCUCUGCUGUGAACCCCACCUCCCCUGCUGCUGUGUGCUCUGGGAAUGAGUUAGCUGAACCCUGAGCCAAAAACCAACAAGGAGUGCUGAAUAGAGACUUUAUGGAGUUGCUCUGUGGGCUUUUUUUCUUGUGAAGGAACAGGGUGUGCUUGAAAGUAAAAAGUGAGUUAUUUGGUGUUGUUGUUGUUGUUAUUGUUGUUUAAAUCUUCCUGGAAGGCAGAAAGAAAGAGAUAAAAAGGAAAAAACAGCAUUUGUCACUUAUAGUGCUCUGGUUAGCACAGUAGCUGGGCCCCUGAACCCUCUACAGGCCUCCCAAGCUGGCACUGAAUAAAAUGUGAGAAAUGAAAGGAACUUUUCCGUGAGUCUGGCAGCGCCGACAGACACUGAGGUGGCAGAGCUGUCUGGUCCCAGUCCACAUGCAGAGGCCUGCAGCUCCUCCUUCCAGCCCGCACCCACCAGAGCUUCUCAGACGGGCCGUGUCCUGAGAAGGUUGUUGCCAAUGUAGAUGUUUGAGAGGCUCACUGAUGAACAAAUCAACAGAGCAGAUUUAAUCUGAAGAGAUCCAAAUAUUGUGCUUCUUUGGACUCAUAGAAAUGGCGAAAGAUUUAACAUCAGGAAGUACUUAAGUCAGCUAAUUUCUAGAGCCUUCUUCCUCCCUGUCACUUGAUUCUAGAUAGGAUCACCAGUUAGACAUCAGAACCAGAUCUUUUUAUCCAGAGAAGUACCAGUUUGUUGUUUUUCCUUCCGAAGCCAAGUCCUCGAGUUUCAGGUAGACUUCAGUUGAUUUCUGCGAGGUCUUUGCUUUCUCUCUGCCAGAAUAAUCACUGCUGAGGAAAGCAAAAAGCCCCGAAGAGCCUGGCUUGGAAUAAAAACAUGCACCAUACAAGAUUUUUAUGAAGAUUAAAUAACUUGGGCUAAAAUAUUCUGGAAGCUGCCAAGGGCUCUACAGAUGAGCUAUACAGAGGCAUUUGCUGAAAACUGGCCUGGAUUGACAAGCGCAAUGCAAACGUGGCUGCGGCAGUUCCAGGCAUCACAUGGUAACAAGAUCACAUCCAGUGAAGAAGGAAUUCUCAUAAGACAGUCAGCAGAUUUUGCAGGUGAAGAUACACAAAGGAUAGAUCAAGGUCAUGAUUUAAUGCAGAUGGCUGAAUUAUGACCAAAAAAACAUCCAUAGUCAGCUCCAGUCAUAUUUCUGACCUGAGGCUGGGCUUAAGGUCUACACAGCUGGAAACAUCCAUUUCUGAUGCCAGCUACAUCAUUCCCUGAUGAGAACAGUGCCAGCAGUGAACCCCUCACCACUCCCCACACCCAACCCCCACCUCAGUGUCCCCAGGGUAUUAUCAGUUGUGUCAGCCUAGAGUCUCUGAGUUUGGUCUGGCUCUGCCCCUCCCCCAUCCGUUUAGAAAGAAUCUAUUUCUGUUUCUCUCUCUCUCUCUCUCUCAUGCCUCAAUCUCAUGUCCUCCUGCUGACUCUAAAGAGACAGCUGAUUGUGGGAAAGAUUUAAAUUGGGUUAUUCUCUCUUAAUAUAAUUUUUGUAAAAUACUAUAAAUGAAUUUCUUCAUGGCCGCCAAAGAGAAGUGCUGCUAUUUCUAGCACCAGACUGACAGGAAUGGUGCCUGUUAGGAUUAAGUUAAGCUGCAAUGGGAACAUUAAAUAUGGCUUAAACAAGACUGGGCUGUAUUUCUUGCUCAUAUAAAAGUCCUGGUAUUGUCACCAGAAAGGGGUCCUGAUGCAGACCCCAAGAGUGGGUUCUUGGAUCUUGCACAAGAACCAAUUCAGGGCGAAUCCACCAAGUAAAGUGAAAGCAAGUUUAUUAGAGAAGUAAAGAAACAAAAUAAUGGCUACUCCACAGACAGAGCUGCCCUGAGGGCUGCUGGUUGGCUACUCUUAUGGUUAUUUCUUGAUCACAUGCUAAACAAGAGGUGACUUAAUCAUGAGUUUUCCCAAAAAGGGGCAGGCAAUUUCCGGAACUGAGGGUUCUUCCCCUUUUUAGACUAUAUAGGAAAACUUCUAGACGUUGCCCUGGUAUUUGUAAACUGUCACGGCAUUGGUGGGAGUGUCUUUUAGCAUGCUAAUGCAUUAUAAUUAGCAUAUAAUGAGCAGUGGGGACCAUCAGAGGUCACUUUUGUAGCCAUCUUGGUUUUAGUGGGUUUUGGCUGGCUUCUUUACCGCAUUCUGUUUUAUCAGAAGGGUCCUUGUGACCUGUAUCUUGUGACAGGAGCCCUGCUCACCUCCCAUUUCAUCCUGUGAUUAAGAAUGCCUAACUUCCUGGGAAUGCAGCCCAGUAGGUUUCAUCUUCAUUUUACCCAGCCCCUAUUAAAGAUGGAGUCACUUUGGUUAGAAUGCCUCUGACAGUGUAAGCAGCUUAGGCUGCUCUGGGGUUCUGCUUUGUGGCUGUAUCACAGUCCACAGAAGCCCUUCAGUCAUCACAUCUGCCUUCCAAACAGCAGGAUGGGCGAAGGGGAGAUGACAGGCCAAAGAGCAUAUGCCUCCUCUCAUUUAAGGAAAUUUCUUGGAAGUUAUCACACAGCAUUGCCACUUACAUUCUGUUGGCCAGAACAUAGUCACAUGGACACAUCUUGCCACAAGGGCAGCUGGGAAAUAGCAUUGUAUUAGUCAGGGUUUCCCCAGAGAAAGAGAACCAAUGGAUGUGUGUGUGUGUGUGUGUGUGUGUGUGUGUGUGUGUGUGUGUGUGUAUAAAGAUGAUAAGGAAUUGGCUCACAUUAUUACAGAAGUUAGCAAAUCCAAAAUCUGCAGGGUGAACAGGCAGGCUGGAGACCCAGGAAAGGCUGGUGUCCUAGUUCUAGUCCUCUGUAGAAUAAGAAACAGCCAGUGCUGCAGAUGAAGUCUGAAGGCAGGCUGCUGGAGAAUUCUCUCCUCAGGGGAGGAAAAUAAAAUAUUCUAUUUUAUUCAGGCUUUAUGAUCUAUUCUUUUCUUUUUGGUCUAUUCAGGUUUUCAACUGAUUGGAUGAGGUUCACCUACAUUAUGGAGGACAGUCUGCUUUACUCAAAGUCCAUCAAUGUAAAUGUUAGUGUCAUCUAAAAGUACUCUCACAGAAAGACCCAUAAUAAUGUUUACCCAAAUAUCUGGGCACACUGUGGUUCAUCCAAGAUGACACAUAAAAUUAACCAUCAUGGACAUCUUAAUUUGAGGCAGCCAGUGUGUCUGCACUCUAGGGGAAGGGUCGGCAAACUACAGUCCACAGGACAAAUCUGUUUUUGUAAGUAAAGGUUUUGGGAAUUCAGCCACACUUGUUCAUGUACAUAUUGUCUAUGGCUGCUUUUGCAGUACCAUGCCAAAACUGAGUGUUCUAAUGAGACCAUAUGGCCUACAAAACCGAAAUUUGACUCUGUCUGUACAGAAUGGCUGAUCCCUGUUUUAGGCAGUUAUGUGCCCAGCUAAAUACUGGGAUUAUUUAGAGAGAGAGAAAGGAAAUUGUGGUAGGCAGAUAGCAAUCUUGAUCCACAGCAGCAUAAAGGACUUGCUGCUGAGAUCUUCUAAGAAAUCUCCCAGCCAUUCAGCAGCAAUUUUUUUGUGCAAUCUAUGAGAUACUGAAGGAAUUACAAAGAAGUACAAGCCAUUUCCCCCAAUCUCAGGAACUUAGUGGAUUAACUUUGUGGAAAGCAAUGGUCUUUGGACCCAGAGAGGGCUGAGUUUAGGCUGAAUUAUUAGCCAUGUGAUCAAACUUCUCAAAACUUCAGUUUUCUCAUCUCUAAAAUGAGCAUGGCCCUAUUACCUCAUCAGGUUGCUGUAUAAAUUAAAUAAGGUCAUUUAUAUGGUGUCUAGCAUAUCAUAAACCCUUUCUUCUUGUCUGAUAGUGAAAACAAUGAUAACUAAUAGUAAUUAAACUUUAUCUGUGUGCUGGGCUCUAGGCAAGGGUUCUUCAUGUAUUAACUCAUUUAAUCCUCACAACAGCUCUUCGAGGUAGGAACAAUCAUUAUCCCCAUUGUAUGAAUGAGAACAUUGAGAGAUGAGGUAUCUUGGCAAAGAGUGCCUAGUUAGAGCAGAGCUGUGAUUCAAACCCAGCUUGCCUGAUUUCUGAUCCCAAGAGCCUGCCCGCCAGUCUGUCCCACAGCCUUCCCAUGUCAGAGCCCUCCUGCCAUCAUCUCCUUCCCCCUCUGGCUGUAAGACAUUCACAGUGUAACUGAGAAAGCAGAGCACAUUCAAAUAAAAAACAAAUUCAUAACAUAAGGCAGUGGAGGUGAAGUGCCAAGUGAGCGGUAUCACUUAGAUACUGAGAGGUUCCAGUCCCCCAGAGCGGUCAGGGGAGGUAUCAAAGCAGGGAUGGGGCCAAAUUGGGUCAUGAUGGACCUACAGGAUUUAGAAGACAGGAAGACACUGUGCAGCCAUAGGGAGUGGAGUGGGCAAGGCUUGGAGGUGGGAAAGAAAUAGCACAAUUAAGGAAUAACAGGUAAAUAAUCCUGGCUAAAUCACAGGAUUCUUACCGGGAGUCCAGAGAGAGCAAUUUGGAAAUGAAGAUUAGAAUUAAAUGAAGGAGCUUGAAUGUCUGUCUAAAAAGCUUCACUGUAUUCGGUAGACACUGAGUAGUCAUUGGAAGGUUUUGAAUGGUGAAAUCACAUGAUGGCAGCAGUGUCUUUAAGAAUAAUGUGGUGGUUUUGGGAGUGAUGACUGAGGCCCAGAGGCUGGGAGACUAGUUGAGAGGCUUUUGAAAUGAUCUAGACAUGACGUAAUGAGAACUUGAAGUGGAGUGUUAGCACAGGCAUGGAUGGAAUGGCAGGAAGGUAGGAGACAUCACAUGAGCAGAACCGGGGCACUUGGUGACUUCGUCUGGGAGUGAGGAGGGGGAGGGGCAGGAUGACUGCCAGGCUUUCAGCCUGGGUGAUGGGAGAAUUUUAUUCUAAAUAGAAGCAGAAGAGGUAAAGGGGAGCUCCAUCUGCCACCCCACCUCCAUGAGGUCUCUGUCUCCACUGAGCAUCUUCACUUACUAGCCGUCACCAGAUACCUGUGAGCAGCCAGCCAUCUCCUCUUUCUUCUUUGCUGCAAGGUGCCACUUCCACCAGAGAAGAACCUAGGGCAGUGAGGAAGCAUGGCCUUUGGGUCAAAGAGGUAGAAUUUAUAUCUGCUCCAUCCGUCACUGGCACUGUAACCUUGAGCACAUCUCAACUGCCCUGAGAUUUAGUCUCUUUAAACUAGGGAUGACAAUACCUACUUGAUAGAGUACUUGCGAAUUAUAUAACAAACUCAAAUCAUUUAGUAUUGCGUCUGGCACGAAGUAGAUGCUCAAUCAUAAUGGCUAACACACUGUGCUUGAAACAGGUACUGCUUUAACUGCUUUACAUCGAUUCACUUGUUUACUCCUCUCAACAGUCCUGCAAGGUGGAUAUCACUCUCACCUUCAGCGCACAAAGAAAGGAGGUAUACAGAAGACACAGAACUCACCAAAGUCACAGGAACUAGGUGAGGAUGAACCAGGCUGCAUCCAAGCAGCCCAGCUUCAGGGUCUGUAUUCUUUGCCACUACCCAGAACUUUUACCAAUAAGCAAAGCUAUUGUUUGCAAUAACAGGAAGCAAAAAUAGCAAAAAGUUCCCUUUAAGGGGGAGUGUUAUAAUAUACUUAACAAUCAGAAUGGCUGAAGCACUGAUCUGUGAGAGUGGCUACUGGUCAUAGCCUGGAGCUGGUCUUUUAGGUCCUCUUUGGUUACUGGAUCCUGGGAGGAUGGAUGAGGAAGUGGUCUCAGGCAAGGGGUGGAGUUAAGUGGCUGUGGAAGGUACUUUGGAGGCUCAGGCAGCAGCUUUUUUUCCCCUUAAACUUUUGUUUUAAGUUCUAGGGUACACGUGCAGGAUGUGCAGUUUACAUAGGUAAACGUGUGCCGUGGUGGUUUGCUGUACAGAACAAACCAUCACUCAGGUAUUAUUAAGCCCAGCACCCAUUAGCUAUUCUUUCUGAUGCUUUCCCUCUCCCAACUUCCACCCGACAGGCCCCAGUGUGUGUUGUUCCCCUCCCUCUGUUCUCAUUGUUCAGCUCCCACUUAUAAGUGAGAACAUGUGGUGUUUGGUUUUCUGUUCCUGCGUCAGUUUGCUGAGGAUAACAGCUUCCAGCUCCAACUAUGUCCCUGCAAAGGACAUGAUCUGAUUCCUUGUUAUGGCUGCAUAGUAUUCCAUGGUGUAUAUGUAACACAUUUUCUUUAUCCAGUCUAUUGUUGAUGCACAUUUGGGUUGAUUCCAUGCCUUUGCUAUUGUAAAUAGUGUUGCAAUGAACAUACAUCUUUAUAUAUGAAUAUAUGUAUCUUUAUAAUAGAAUGAUCUAUAUUCCUUUGGGUAUAUGCGCAGUAAUAAGAUUGCUGGGUCAAAUGGUAUUUCCGCUUCUAGAUCUUUGAGGAAUCGCCACACUGUCUUUCACCAUGGUUGAACUAAUUUACAUUCCCACCAACAGUGUAAAAACGUUCCUUUUUCUCCACAACUUUGCCAACAUCUGCAGUUUCUUGACUUUUUAAUAAUUGCCAUUCUGACUGGCAUGAGAUGGUAUCUCAUUUUGGUUUUGAUUUGCAUUUCUCUGAUGAUCAGUGAUGUUGAGCUUUUUUUUUUUUUUUUUUUUUUUUGAGACGGAGUCUUGCUCUGUCACCCAGGCUGGAGUGCAGUGGCACAAUCUCGGCUCACUGCAACCUCUGAGCCCCCCUCCCUCGGGUUCAAGUGAUUCUCCUGCCUCAGCCUCUUGAGUAGCUGGGAUGACAGGUGCCUGCCACCGUGCCCAGCUAAUUUUUGUAUUUUUAGUAGAGACGGGGUUUCACCAUCUUGGCCAGACUGGUCUUGAACUCCUGACCUCGUGAUCCACCCGCCUCGGCCUUCCAAAGUGCUGGGAUUACAGGCAUGAGCCACUGCGCCUGGCCUGAGCUUUUUUUUAAUGUUUGUUGGCCGCAUUAAUGUUUUAUUCUGAGAAGUGUCUGUUCAUGUCCUUUAGGGCAGCAGCUUUAAACAACUCAUACAGAAAGUUCAAUAUCUUAACUUCCAGUGUGGCAGGAUGGGUGUGCCCUGGGUGAAUACCAGAACUGGUUGUCAUUUUUCAGUGUUUCCUGAUCAACCUGUGGACAAAACAAACUGAUUUUUAAGGACAUUCUCAUUGUUUAAUGUUAUAUUGAUUUUAAAAAUAUAUUUUAUUAUUAAUACCAUGUUUAAAUUGUUUUUUAAAAAGACUUAAGGCAGCUUGUAGUUUAAAAAAACCCUUACAAAUAAAGUCAUUA
rnacentral:lncRNA from 10 species